UGCCAGACUCUUACGGGAGGCAGCAGUGGGGAAUAUUGCACAAUGGGGGAAACCCUGAUGCAGCGACGCCGCGUGAGUGAAGAAGUACUUCGGUAUGUAAAGCUCUAUCAGCAGGGAAGAAAAACCGACCAUAGGGUCGCUAGACGGUACCUGAUUAAGAAGCCCCGGCUAACUACGUGCCAGCAGCCGCGGUAAUACGUAGGGGGCAAGCGUUAUCCGGAUUUACUGGGUGUAAAGGGAGCGUAGACGGCAGUGCAAGUCUGGAGUGAAAGCCCGUGGCUUAACCACGGGACUGCUCUGGAAACUGUGCAGCUAGAGUGCAGGAGAGGCAGGCGGAAUUCCUAGUGUAGCGGUGAAAUGCGUAGAUAUUAGGAGGAACACCGGUGGCGAAGGCGGCCUGCUGGACUGUAACUGACGUUGAGGCUCGAAAGCGUGGGGAGCAAACAGGAUUAGAUACCCGCGUAAA
rnacentral:rRNA from 1 species